rnacentral:rRNA from 1 species
GACGAACGCUGGCGGCGUGCUUAACACAUGCAAGUCGAACGGAAAGGCCCUGCUUUUGUGGGGUGCUCGAGUGGCGCGCGGGUGAGUAACACGUGAGUAACCUGCCCUUGACUUUGGGAUAACUUCAGGAAACUGGGGCUAAUACCGGAUAGGAGCUCCUGCUGCAUGGUGGGGGUUGGAAAGUUUCGGCGGUUGGGGAUGGACUCGCGGCUUAUCAGCUUGUUGGUGGGGUAGUGGCUUACCAAGGCUUAGACGGGUAGCCGGCCUGAGAGGGUGACCGGCCACAUUGGGACUGAGGGAGGGCCCAGAGUCCUACGGGGGGCAGCAGUGGAAAAUAUUGCACAGUGAGCGGAAGCCUGAUGCGGCAACGCCGCGUGCGGGAUGACGGCCUUCGGGUUGUAAACCGCUUUCGCCUGAGACGAAGCGUUAGUGACGUUAAUAGGUAAAGAAGCACCGGCUAACUACGUG